rnacentral:rRNA from 1 species
CGGCGGGCCUGUCCCGUCUCCCCGUUCCCCGUCCCCACGAACAAAACCCCGGCGCAAGAUGCGCCAAGGAAUCGCAACGAGAAAAGGAACGUGCCCCCGUUGYGCGCCGGGAACGGAAUGCGCACGGGAGGCCUCGUAUUCUUUGAAAACAAAACGACUCUCGGCAACGGAUAUCUCGGCUCUCGCAUCGAUGAAGAACGUAGCGAAAUGCGAUACUUGGUGUGAAUUGCAGAAUCCCGUGAACCAUCGAGUCUUUGAACGCAAGUUGCGCCCGAAGCCUUCGGGCCGAGGGCACGUCUGCCUGGGUGUCAUGCACCGUCGCCCCCAUCCCCGCUCCCCUGAGGGGAGCGGGGAAGCGCGGGGCGGACAAUGGCCUCCCGUGCGCUCUCGCUCGCGGUUGGCCUAAAUCCGAGUUGUUGGCGGCGAGCGCCACGGCAAGCGGUGGUUGGAAAGACCCUCUGAAGUGUCG